UUGUGCCCAGAGUUUGAUUUUCCACAGACCAGGUAGAGGCCAAGAGCCUCUCACAGACUCUGCAGCAGGGUUGCUAUGAUUAACUCUUAAGUACUCCACAACUACACGCUUUUGAAACUGGCGUUGGCAUAGCGUUAGUUCUGUGCAGGGCGGACGCAGCAGGACAGAAUCUCCCUGGGCAUCUUUUCGGAGCAUCAAUUUUACUGCAAAAUUUUGAAAAAACAAAUUUAAUUGAUUUCCAAGGUUUGUCAAGGAGGACAGAAACUCAGAGCACCCUGCACUUGGGGAUCGGCACUAGGAGCUGCUCUCUGGAUGGGGAGAUGGGAGCUAGCAGCUCACAAUGGGGUCACAAGACAGGAGUGUUAUUGGGAGAAUCCUGUUUUGUUGACAAAUACUGAGAUCAUCCAACUCACCAGGCAAAGUUGACUUGUGUAAGUGAUCUUCAGAUAUGAAAAGUGUGGAACCCAGCUGCUCCUCCUCAGAUAGGCGACAUGACAAUUGUAGGCCUGGAGGGAGAUGAGUUGACAACAUCCCUUCCCUAUAACCACUUGUUGGAUCUGAUCUCACAUACACAGACUCACUCCAAAGACUGACCUGGGUGUCUGCUUCUCAGCUUCAUUAACAGUGGGUGCUCACAAGUCUAGUGGAGAGAAUGUCUGAGAAGAGGAGGACCUUGACUGCUCCUGAACCGGAGACCUCAGUAGUAACAGGAUCUUCUACACUGUAGCUGCUUCCAGUGUGAGCCAGACAAAUGUACUGAAUAUAGGCCUCAGAGGUGAUCCCACCACCUUCACAGCAAUGGUCCUUCCCCAGGAGCUUCCCCUGAGAAACGGGCCAUCCAGACCAUACUGCUGCUGAAUAAUGUCUCAUUGGAAAUCUCAACAUUCUUCAUUUAGAACACCACCGCCAAUAUCUACCAUAUGCCGGGAUUAUUGUGCAGG
rnacentral:lncRNA from 1 species